rnacentral:rRNA from 1 species
GACGAACGCUGGCGGCGUGCUUAACACAUGCAAGUCGAACGGAAAGGCCCUGCUUUUGUGGGGUGCUCGAGUGGCGAACGGGUGAGUAACACGUGAGUAACCUGCCCUUGACUUUGGGAUAACUUCAGGAAACUGGGGCUAAUACCGGAUAGGAGCUCCUGCUGCAUGGUGGGGGUUGGAAAGUUUCGGCGGUUGGGGAUGGACUCGCGGCUUAUCAGCUUGUUGGUGGGGUAGUGGCUGACCAAGGCUUUGACGGAUAGCCGGCCUGAGAGGGUGAACGGGCACAUUGGGACUGAGAUACGGCGCAGACUCCUAUGGUAGGCAGUAGUGGAGAAUAUUGCACAAUGGGCGGGCGCCUGAGGCAGCAGCGCCGCGUGCGGGAUGCCGGGCUUCGGGUGGUAAACCGCUUUCGACUGUGACGAGGCGUGAGUGACGGUAAUGGGUAAAGAAGCACCGGCUAACUACGUG